GAGGAUACACCUGUUCCCAUUCCGAACACAGAAGUUAAGCUCUCUAGCGCUGAUGGUACUUGGUGGGAAACUGCCUGGGAGAGUAGGACGUAGCCACGUA
rnacentral:rRNA from 1 species